GAAAGCGGUGCUAAUACCUGAUACGUUCACGGUUUUCAAAGCUGUGGGUAAAGGUGGCCUCUGACAUAAGCUAUCGCUUGAAGAUGAGCCCGCGUACCAUUAGCUUGUUGGUGGGGUAACGGCCUACCAAGGCAAUGAUGGUUAGCUGGCCUGAGAGGGUGGCCAGCCACACUGGAACUGAGACACGGUCCAGACUCCUACGGGAGGCAGCAGUGGGGAAUAUUGCGCAAUGGGGGAAACCCUGACGCAGCGACGCCGUGUGAGUGAUGAAGGCUUUCGGGUCGUAAAGCUCUGUCAGAUGGGAAGAAUAAGGGUCUGGAAAACAUUCAGGCCCGAUGACGGUACCAUCAGAGGAAGCACCGGCUAACUCCGUGCCAGCAGCCGCGGUAAUACGGAGGGUGCAAGCGUUGUUCGGAAUUACUGGGCGUAAAGCGCGUGUAGGCGGGCCAUGUAGGUCAGAUGUGAAAGCCCUCGGCUCAACCGAGGAAGUGCAUCUGAAACCCCAUGUCUUGAGUACCAGAAGA
rnacentral:rRNA from 1 species